ncrna:unclassified sequences IMES-2 RNA motif
UUUUUAAUUAAGAGGCAACUCUUAACUGGCCAUUUAAGGAAAAACCGAGAGGUUCAAGCUUAAAGGGCAGAAAGGUCAGCUGAGUAGAGCUAAAAUGGUUGAUCGGGAAGGCUUGGCGGUAGCUCUUACAACGACGAGCCAA